GAGAAGUGCAGAACAGGCAACUAAACAUAGAAUAAGAACCCACAAACUACCCAAGGAAUAUGGCUACCUAAAUAUGGUCCCCAAUCAGAGACAACGAUAAACAGCUGCCUCUGAUUGGGAAUCAAUUCAGGCCACCAAAGACAUACAUAAACCUUACAAAAACCUCUAGACAUACAAAAUCUCCUAGACAAUACAAAAACUAACAAACCACCCUCGUCACACCCUGACCUAACCAAAAUAAUAAAGAAAACAGAGAUAACUAAGGUCACGGCAUGACACUAGUCUGACUCUGAGCUGAUGAACAACUCUGUUGCUCUAUCACUGAUGUGCCAGAGAAGCGGUUGGUGAGCGGAAUUAGUUGAAUGAGUCCUACCUUGCUCCUACUGACCUGUGAGCCAUACAUUGUUAAUGAGCAGUAGGGCUACAUCUCACUGUCAUUAAGUGUUUGACUUGGACUGAAAAAGGUGCCAGUACUGGUGUUACUGACCUGUGAGCCAUACAUUUAACAAUGUAGGGCUACAUCUCUGUGUCAUUAAGUGUUUGACUUGGACUGAAAUAGGUGCCAGUACUGGUGUUAGGUGCCGGUACUGUUUAUAUUUAGGUGCAGGAGCUCCACAAUACUUUUGAGCUAAUAUUCUAUGAAGAACUGGAGCUCAAGCAUUAGAACAUUUGUGGUGCCGGAGUACUGGUGAGCUCCUGUCUAAAUCAAGCACUGAGCGUCAAUAUUGUUUCAUCUUUAUGUAAACUCAUAGGCUAUUUCCUAACUAAUAAUAGGUCAAUGUUACUGUUUGUGUUUGGACCUAGGCCUAUAUCUAUUCACUAUUCUUUGAAACCAUACAUUUAUUCAAGUUAAAUAGCUUCUCACAAGUGGGCAAGGCAUGAAAUAGAUAGCCUAGGGCUCGGCUAUAGGCUAAAAUACCAUGCACAGCAGGUGGAUUACCUCAUUGCCGCGGGGGGUGAUGGUAAACAACAAUUCAGCUCCCUCAUAUCGCCAUCAACACUCAGAGAGAAUGCUGCGUUGGAUGGCGGACAUUUUCAACCAUGGUUAGAUGGUUUGCGACCAUCAGAUCUGCAAUUUGUGCAUUCCGGUCGAUGAGUGCAGCCUACGAACGUUUAGGGAUGGCCACAACAUGGCAGAAAAUCCUACUGUUCUACCAAGGGGUGCUAGAUAAUGGAGACAAAAGAACUGACAGCUGGUUGCUGGUGUACUCACCUGUGCCAAUCACUUGCAUCUUCCUGUGCUACCUGCUCCUCAUAUGGGUGGGCCCCAAGCUGAUGGCUCAGAGGCAGCCAGUCAACCUCAAGCCUGUGCUCAUCAUGUACAACUUUGCUAUGGUCUGCCUGUCUGCCUAUAUGUUCUAUGAGUUCACAGCGUCAUCCUGGUUGGCAAACUAUAGUAUAUUAUGUCAGCCUGUGGACUACAACACCAGCCCACUGGCAAUGCGGAUGGCCAAGGUCUGCUGGUGGUUCUACUUCUCCAAAGUCAUCGAGCUCAGUGAUACUCUUUUCUUCAUCCUGAGGAAGAAGAACAGUCAGCUGACGUUCCUGCAUGUCUACCACCACGGCACCAUGAUCUUCAACUGGUGGGCUGGGGUCAAAUACGUGGCAGGAGGCCAGUCCUUCCUUAUAGGCCUUAUCAACUCAUUGGUGCACGUGGUGAUGUAUCUAUACUAUGGGCUGGCAGCGAUGGGGCCUCACAUGCAGCAGUAUCUGUGGUGGAAGCGCUACCUCACUUCCCUGCAGCUGCUCCAGUUCUUCAUAGUGACCAUCCACACCAGCUACAACCUGUUCACUGACUGCGACUUCCCAGACUCCAUGAAUGCUGUGGUGUUUGCCUACUCCCUCAGCCUCAUCGUACUCUUCAGAAACUUCUACUAUCAGAGCUACCUCACCAAGAAGAGCAAACAGACAUGAGACACGGAUGUAGAGACUCCCGAGUACCAAGGAGCGGGAGAGUACAGCCCUGUAGUCAUCAGUGACUUCAGUUCUUUUUCCUAGAGUCCUUACCUGGACCAGAACAACACAGAGAGAUGGCAGCAGAGUUUGCUGGUGCAUGAGUGCAGUCACAGUGCAUUGCAGUGGCAACAUUUAUACAAACCAUUAUUCAUGCAUUGUGGAGACCCCGCUCCCCACAAUACGUCAAGACACUUUAACAUCAAAGGCACCACACAUAGUCGCCUGGCUCCCGUAGGAGCGUACUCUUUUGAUUCUCUUCCCCCCUCUCCCUCCACUGUCUGCUGAGCGGUUCCCCCUGGCCCCUUGCUCUCCCCAGCCCCCUGUUCUCCUGCUCCCUGGGUCACCUAGCGCUUAAAAUAACCGUGCCAAGGACCCGCUACGUCUUCUCCUCAGCCCACUCCUCCAGUGAAUUACACAGCCGUUCCACGUUAUUAAACAUGACACUCAACCAAGAUAAUGAAGCCUUUCUUCAUCUCAUUUGGAAUCCUAAUCUAAUUUCUUUGAUUAAUGGGCACUGAUCUGCAUAUCAAGGGCUCUUGUUAAUUUCUCUGGCAAAUCCCUUUUUAUGAUGCGCUCGCAAAACAAAAUAAGUAUCUGUCUUAAGAAUCUCUCUUUCCCUACCCCUUCUUUUCCACAUGAGAGGCUUAAUGGGGAAAGGGAAUGGGGCUGGGUAGCAGGCUGAUUAGAUGAUGGCUCCAACCACCAUCCCCUCCUCCCACUCAAGACAAGACAGGAGAAGAGAGAAUCUGCCAUGUGUUUUGGUCAAGUUCAAGUUUAUUUGUCUGAUGUACAGGAUACGCAUGGUAUACACUGUUGAAAGAAAUGCGACAACAAUAACAAAUAAAAUAUAUGAUUUUUUGUUGUUGAA